UACGUAGGGGGCUAGCGUUGUCCGGAAUCAUUGGGCGUAAAGCGCGCGUAGGCGGCCCGGUAAGUCCGCUGUGAAAGUCAAAGGCUCAACCUUUGAAUGUCAGCGGAUACUGCCAGGCUAGAGUCCGGAAGGGGCGAGUGGAAUUCCUGGUGUAGCGGUGAAAUGCGCAGAUAUCAGGAGGAACACCUAUGGCGAAGGCAGCUCGCUGGGACGGUACUGACGCUGAGGCGCGAAAGCGUGGGGAGCAAACAGG
rnacentral:rRNA from 1 species